GACGGACGCUGGCGGCGUGCCUAAUACAUGCAAGUCGAGCGGACGUUUUAUUGGUGCUUGCACCGAUAUAACGUUAGCGGCGGACGGGUGAGUAACACGUGGGCAACCUGCCCUGUAGAUUGGGAUAACUCCGGGAAACCGGGGCUAAUACCGAAUAAUACUUUUUAGCUCAUGCUAGAAAGUUGAAAGAUGGUUUACGCUAUAACUACAGGAUGGGCCCGCGGCGCAUUAGCUAGUUGGUGAGGUAACGGCUCACCAAGGCGACGAUGCGUAGCCGACCUGAGAGGGUGAUCGGCCACACUGGGACUGAGACACGGCCCAGACUCCUACGGGAGGCAGCAGUAGGGAAUCUUCCACAGUGGGCGAAAGCCUGAUGGAGCAACGCCGCGUGAGUGAAGAAGGUUUUCGGAUCGUAAAACUCUGUUGUCAGAGAAGAACAAGUCGGAGAGUAACUGCUCCGGCCUUGACGGUAUCUGACCAGAAAGCCACGGCUAACUACGUGCCAGCCGCCGCCGUAAGAC
rnacentral:rRNA from 1 species